GAUCAUGGCUCAAGAUGAACGCUAGCUACAGGCUUAACACAUGCAAGUCGAGGGGCAGCAUGGUCUUAGCUUGCUAAGGCCGAUGGCGACCGGCGCACGGGUGAGUAACGCGUAUCCAACCUGCCUUACACUCUUGGACAGCCUUCUGAAAGGGAGAUUAAUACAAGAUGUUAUCAUGAGUAAGCAUUUUCGCAUGAUUAAAGGUUUAUCGGUGUAAGAUGGGGAUGCG
rnacentral:rRNA from 1 species